rnacentral:rRNA from 1 species
AUUGAACGCUGGCGGCAUGCCUUACAUAUGCAAGUCGAACGGCAGCACGGGUGCUUGCACCUGGUGGCGAGUGGCGAACGGGUGAGUAAUAUAUCGGAACAUACCCUAGAGUGGGGGAUAACGUAGCGAAAGUUACGCUAAUACUGCAUACGAACUAAGGUUGAAAGUGGGGGAUCGCAAGACCUCAUGCUCAUGGAGUGGCCGAUAUCUGAUUAGCUGGUUGGUGAGGUAAAGGCUCACCAAGGCGACGAUCAGUAGCUGGUUUGAGAGAACGACCAGCCACACUGGAACUGAGUCACGGUCCAGACUCCUACGGGAGGCAGCAGUGGGGAAUUUUGGACAAUGGGGGCAACCCUGAUCCAGCAAUGCCGCGUGAGUGAAGAAGGCCCUCGGGUUGUAAAGCUCUUUUGUCAGGGAAGAAACGGUCUACUCUAAUACAGUGGGCUAAUGACGGUACCUGAAGAAUAAGCACCGGCUAACUACGUGCCAGCAGCCGCCGCGGUAA